rnacentral:lncRNA from 1 species
GAUUCCCCAUUGAGGUUGGGGUUCCCCAUUAGGGUUCUGUGUUGGGGUUCCCCAUUGGGGUUUCCUUAUAGGGUUCCCCAUUGUGGUUCCCUUUUAGGAUUCUCCAUUGAGGUUGGGGUUCCCCGUUGUGGUUCCAUUUUAGGGUUCCCCAUUGGGGUUCCUUUUCAGGAUUGUCCAUUGAGCUUGGGGUUCCCCAUUAGGGUUCUGUGUUGGGGGUUCCCCAUAGGGGUUCCAUUUUCGGGUUCCCCAUUGGGAUCCCCCAUUGAGGUUGGGGUUCCCCAUUGGGGUUCUGUGUUGGGGUUCCCCAUUGGGGUUCUGUGUUGGGGUUCCCUACUGGGGUUCCAUUUUAGGGUUCCCCAUUGGGGUUCCAUUUUAGGGUUCCCCAUUGAGGU